rnacentral:rRNA from 1 species
AGUGAACGCUGGCGGUAGGCCUAACACAUGCAAGUCGAACGGCAGCACAGUAAGAGCUUGCUCUUACGGGUGGCGAGUGGCGGACGGGUGAGGAAUACAUCGGAAUCUACUUUUUCGUGGGGGAUAACGUAGGGAAACUUACGCUAAUACCGCAUACGACCUACGGGUGAAAGCAGGGGAUCUUCGGACCUUGCGCGAUUGAAUGAGCCGAUGUCGGAUUAGCUAGUUGGCGGGGUAAAGGCCCACCAAGGCGACGAUCCGUAGCUGGUCUGAGAGGAUGAUCAGCCACACUGGAACUGAGACACGGUCCAGACUCCUACGGGAGGCAGCAGUGGGGAAUAUUGGACAAUGGGCGCAAGCCUGAUCCAGCCAUACUGCGUGGGUGAAGAAGGCCUUCGGGUUGUAAAGCCCUUUUGUUGGGAAAGAAAAGCAGCAGGUUAAUACCCCGCUGUCCUGACGGUACCCAAAGAAUAAGCACCGGCUAACUUCGUG